GAUGAACGCUGGCGGCGUGCCUAACACAUGCAAGUCGAGCGAUUUACUUCGGUAAAGAGCGGCGGACGGGUGAGUAACGCGUGGGUAACCUGCCCUGUACACACGGAUAACAUACCGAAAGGUAUGCUAAUACGAGAUAAUAUGCUUUUAUCGCAUGGUAGAAGUAUCCAAGCUUUUGCGGUACAGGAUGGACCCGCGUCUGAUUAGCUAGUUGGUAAGGUAACGGCUUACCAAGGCGACGAUCAGUAGCCGACCUGAGAGGGUGAUCGGCCACAUUGGAACUGAGACACGGUCCAAACUCCUACGGGAGGCAGCAGUGGGGAAUAUUGCACAAUGGGCGAAAGCCUGAUGCAGCAACGCCGCGUGAGCGAUGAAGGCCUUCGGGUCGUAAAGCUCUGUCCUCAAAGAAGAUAAUGACGGUACUUGAGGAGGAAGCCCCGGCUAACUACGUGCCAGCCGCCGCCGUAAUAC
rnacentral:rRNA from 1 species